rnacentral:rRNA from 1 species
UACGUAGGGUCCGAGCGUUGUCCGGAAUUAUUGGGCGUAAAGGGCUCGUAGGCGGUUUGUCGCGUCGGGAGUGAAAACUCAGGGCUCAACCCUGAGCGUGCUUCCGAUACGGGCAGACUAGAGGUAUGCAGGGGAGAACGGAAUUCCUGGUGUAGCGGUGGAAUGCGCAGAUAUCAGGAGGAACACCGGUGGCGAAGGCGGUUCUCAGGGCAUUACCUGACGCUGAGGAGCGAAAGCAUGGGGAGCGAACAGG